rnacentral:lncRNA from 1 species
GUAGGGGAAGUUUUCAAGUAAAGUAUAGAGUCUAGCCUAGGUUAAUUAAUAAGAAUCAGAAAUAGGAAUGCUAGGUUGGUGCGCUAGCUCAAGUUAUGUAACUCCAUUCUUGUCAGUAAGUAGCGAAAGUCCAAGUUCCCGAGUGUCGAGUACUAUAAGUAGCAGUCACAGCCCUAUGCCUAAUGGUUUCAUUAUGAGAAGCAGUGGCCCUUUCUCAAGUUAAGAUCUUAGAAGCACUAGCGCUAUUCUCUUAGAAUCUCUUGUCGCAUAGGGGGGUGUUCCUGACAUUUGUUCUUUCUUUGCUAAUAUAAGAGGGGAUUCUAACUAAUGAGUUGACUUCCUAGCAUUGAAUGAAGGCAUGGGUAGCCGUUUGUUCGUUUGAUUCUGAGUUGACUAUCCGAUGUAUCCUUCCUUCUAUCCUUAUUCCUCUCCUUAGUACCCUACUUUAGAGUUUCAUCCAAGCCCCGACCCACUCCAUUCUUCUUCCCUCUUCUAAAGGAUCAGUCUUAGAGUCAAAUACUAAUUGUGUUUCUAAUAGCGUUGUAUAGGAGCAUGUCCAGUCUACUCGUGUCGCAGUGUAAUUCCCAGCUAUGAGCUACAGUCUUAUUGGUGGUAAUUCCCAGCUAUGAGCUACAGUCUUAUUGGUGGUAAUUCCCAGCUAUGAGCUACAGUCUUAUUGGUGUUAGUCAAAGUCUUAAAAGCAGCAGUUUCAUUCUCUUUAGCAUGGAUGGAUUUCUGACUUCUGUCUUUGAUUCCAAUUAGAGUAGUUAGUAGCCGCAUUCUUAUAGGAGAGUAGUCAAAGAGUAAGAGAAGUCCUAGUUACUAGAUUGAUAGUUCAAUCUCUUAGUGCGCUAGCUCAAUUACAUCGACCCAGUUGUUUGUAUUACUUAUUAGGGUUAAUAGCUAGGUUCACUAGCAAUGUAGUAUAGGUCCAAUGAGUUUUCAGGAUUAGAGACAGAAGUGAAGUUACAGACUCACUCUCGAACUGGAGAAUACAAGUAAGAAAGGACAGAAACAGUGAUUUCAGCGUAGCUCCCAGCUCGGUAUCCUUUAUUGUGUAUUUCAUUAUUGUAUGCCCGACUCCAGUUCAAUCCAUUAAGGUUGAGUUUCAUUAUUGUAUGUCCUAGUAAGAAAUUCUUUAUUGCUCGUU